AUGCCAACACCUAUGUCAUUGUCAAUCUUGCCAACACUUGUCAUUGUCAAUCUUGCCAACACCUAUGUCAUUGUCAAUCUUGCCAACACCUAUGUCAUUGUCAAUCUUUGUACAAAAACAGAUCUGCUCUAUGACAUCACACAGCAGCCAGAGAGAAAGAAGAGACAGAGACAGAGGACAGAGACAGAUAAAGGGAAAGAGGAGAGAAGAGGAAAGGGUGAGGGGGGAUUUCUGUCUUUCUGCUGGAGUUCAAGGUCCACCCAUCAUCAAUUCUGCAUUUCUAUCUGGUGUAUCCUCCUGCCCAUACCAAACUCCACGGUGGCUAAUUGCUAAUACUUUUAAUAAAAUGAGUGUGAUGUGAUCAGACAUUAUGACAUUGUCAAAACAUUGGCUUUCAAACAAAGUGUAGGGAUCAGGCAUGACUGCAGACCUGGGUUCAAAUACUAGGCUAUACGUUUAGCGUUUGUUCUAGCCUGCCCGGCGUGCCAGAUGGGCGGGGUUUGCCGGUUUACAACUAUGCUAUUGGUUCCAUUGCGCCAGGCAAGCUCAAUGAAGCUGACAGAAAAAAAAGUAGCCUCGAAAGGUUUCAGCUGUUGAGAAUGUAACUGGGUCAAUUGAAGUUACAAUCUUUUCAAGGUACAUUUGGGGUCAAUUGCUGUUGUGAUUACUGUUAUGGAUUCCUAUCCACCCACUGCAGAUGAUAGUGGUGUGUGUGUUACUCACAUGGGAGAGUCUGUGCACUGCUCUUGGGGUGAUAGGGAGUCCUCGGACGCGGUGAUGGACCUCCUCCCACCUGUCCUGGGAACUUGGGCGUAACCUGUCCAUAGAAAUUGAAAUAAGAAUCAGGACAGGGUCAGGCCAGGCCUCAAUUCGGGCCUGCUGGUAAAAACUUGCCCCGCACCAAGUGACAUGGAGGACCUUCGUCAAUGGCAUACGCUCCUUAUCGGAGUCAAGGGUUUACGUCAAGUUAAGUCAAAUAGGCUAGACAUACCUAUAUGGCUCAAGCUUUCCAUGUAGGCGCGCCAAAGCAUGGAAGGGAUGGGUGUGGGUGUAGGGGUGGGAGACCCCCCUUUGUUAGCCAGGAAACAUUGCUGGCUUGGACCUGGGGGGUAGUCCAGGAGAUUGUCUGUGUCAGAGGCCGGGGACCGUGGGAGACAAGGAGAGGGUGUGUCUGGCCAUGACAGGGAAGAGAUGAGGUGAGGGAGUUGCCAGUACCACGCCAAGGGUCCCUCUUCUAGGGACAGGAGGAGAACACAGCAAAAACACAAUAUAGUCGAAUACAAUAAAGUGAAGUAACACGUCAUUUGAAGGGGUAUACAUAAAAUGACAGGCACGAACCCAAGUGAUUGAGUUGGGAGUCCAAAGCCUGAAAUAACCCUAUCAUUUGCCAAACGGAAUGAAGAGUUUUGUUUGAUUUGGAACUGGUGUCCAAAGGUAGACACUCGUCUUUUACAUGAAUUAAUGAUGUGCUGCUUUUGCUGUCUCCAUAUCCUUUGUUGUUAUUGUCUAAUUAUUGUUGUUGUAGUAUGUAUUAGCUUGUGCAAUCAAAAAAAUCAUCUUUAGGGGAUGGAUAAAGUACUAUCUAAUCUUACCUUAUUAGUUGAGUUCAAUGUCCUAUUUCCUUUAUCAACAAUGUCAUAAUCUCAAUAAAAGCGUGUUAUGCCC
rnacentral:lncRNA from 13 species